rnacentral:rRNA from 1 species
UACAGAGGUCUCAAGCGUUGUUCGGAUUCAUUGGGCGUAAAGGGUGUGUAGGCGGCGCGGUAAGUCGGGUGUGAAAUCUUGGAGCUUAACUCCGAAACUGCAUUCGAUACUGCCGUGCUUGAGGACUGGAGAGGAGACUGGAAUUUACGGUGUAGCGGUGAAAUGCGUAGAUAUCGUAAGGAAGGCCAGUGGCGAAGGCGGGUCUCUGGACAGUUCCUGACGCUGAGGCACGAAGGCCAGGGGAGCAAACGGG